AAUAGAGAAAAUGAAAAUGAAUGCUUGCUUGAAAGAAAAAUAGUGAAAAACAAAAAUUGAGUUGUGAAAUAAGAGUUGUGAAGGUUUCAAAUGAGAAACAAAUGGAACGAAGUUGAGAUGUGUUAAAAUGAAAAUGAAUGCUUGCUUGAAAGAAAAAUAGUGAAAAACAAAAAUUGAGUUGUGAAAUAAGAGUUGUGAAGGUUUCAAAUGAGAAACAAAUGGAACGAAGUUGAGAUGUGUGAAUAAUGUACGGUGAAUGUCUCUUUUGCAUCGGCAAUUUCGUUUUCAAUGGCCUUAGAAAUGACCCUUGUUUGUAAACCUAACCAAGCU
rnacentral:lncRNA from 1 species